AGUCGAUUGCCUUUUAAUACAUUUUUUAAACAUAUAUGUAAAAUCUAUCAUACCUUUGACUAUUAUCUGGUGUUUUGGGUUAUAUGCCUUCAUAUCAGAUCGACAAUUUUCAUGCUUGUUUUGUCUGAUUACUGCUGUGGUUUUAAUGUGUUUAGUUUUUUUUAAUCUGAAAUUUGUGUUAUGCUUGUUUUGCAUGAAAUUUUUGUUGACACAUUCUUUGUGGUGCAUAGGAAGAG
rnacentral:misc_RNA from 1 species